rnacentral:rRNA from 1 species
AAUGGGCGAAAGCCUGAUCCAGCCAUGCCGCGUGGAUGAUGAAGGCCCUAGGGUUGUAAAAUCCUUUCGUUGGGGACGAUAAUGACGGUACCCAAAGAAGAAGCUCCGGCUAACUUCGUGCCAGCAGCCGCGGUAAUACGAAGGGGGCUAGCGUUGUUCGGAUUUACUGGGCGUAAAGCGCGUGUAGGCGGGUCGUUAAGUUGGGGGUGAAAUCCCGAGGCUCAACCUCGGAACUGCCUUCAAAACUGGCGACCUGGACCCAAGUAGAGGCAAGUGGAAUUGCGAGUGUAGAGGUGAAAUUCGUAGAUAUUCGCAGGAACACCAGUGGCGAAGGCGACUUGCUGGACUUGUGGUGACGCUGAGACGCGAAAGCGUGGGGAGCAAA